UACGGGGGGGGGAAGGGGUGUUCGGAAUUACUGGGCGGAAAGGGCUUGUAGGCGGCCAAAUAAGGCAGACGUGAAAUCCCUCGGCUUAACCGGGGAACUGCGUCUGAUACUGGAUGGCUAGAGGUUGGGAGAGGGAUGCGGAAUUCCAGGUGUAGCGGUGAAAUGCGUAGAUAUCUGGAGGAACACCGGUGGCGAAGGCGGCAUCCUGGACCAAUUCUGACGCUGAGGAGCGAAAGCCAGGGGAGCAAACGGG
rnacentral:rRNA from 1 species